rnacentral:rRNA from 1 species
GAGUUUGAUUAUGGCUCAGGAUGAACGCUAGCGGUAGGCUUAACACAUGCAAGUCGAGGGGCAUCACGAGUAGCAAUACUUGGUGGCGACCGGCGCACGGGUGAGUAACGCGUAUGCAACCUACCCUAUACAGGGGGAUAGCUCUCGGAAACGAGGAUUAAUACCCCAUAGUAUUUAUAAGAGGCAUCUUUUAUAAAUUAAAGAUUUGGUUCGGUAUAGGAUGGGCAUGCGUUCCAUUAGGUAGUUGGUAGGGUAACGGCCUACCAAGCCGAUGAUGGUUAGGGGUUCUGCAAGGAAGGUCCCCCACACUGGUACUGAGACACGGACCAGACUCCUACGGGAGGCAGCAGUGAGGAAUAUUGGUCAAUGGGCGGAAGCCUGAACCAGCCAAUCCGCGUGCAGGAAGACGGCCGUAAGGUUGUAAACUGCUUUUAUAUAGGAAUAAUUAUAUUUACGAGUUAUAUAUAUGCAAGU